rnacentral:misc_RNA from 1 species
UGUGUUGCUUACCUAUCGAAAGGAAUCCGAUGGUCUCGUUUGUCCCUCUCCGCCCCCAGCCCUCGCGGGUUGCGGGGUGGACGACAGGCACGCCCCGUGUUCCUGGCAAGCCUCGCCCAGCGCUUGGCUGCCUUGGCCCACGGUGUGCUAUGCCCGUUCUCUCGGAUGCGGAACGUUACGCGCGGGCGUGGGGUCUGUUACGACAGGCUUCGUUUGCCCGAGCAACGCAUUUUGUCCCUCGACGCGAACGACUGUCAUGCCCGUCUCGAGCUCGCGGCCUCACGGCCCGUCGGGCGUCGUGCGGGCGUCGACGUCGCGAAGGAAUGCUACCUGGUUGAUCCUGCCAGUAGUCAUAU